UUUUGCAGCCAUGGUGUUUAACUGAUUUCAGCUAUGUAUUAGCCUCCAGAUUGUUUUGGAGAGGAACUGGCACACAAGGACAAGAAACCAGACUGACCAGUGACCAUGGGAGGCAAACCGUCAGGAGAGAGCAGAGAGGAGUCCGGCGCG